GGCUUAUGCUGUGCCUGUUACAUUCUGUGAUGACUCUGGAUAACUUUACUGAUCGCAGUCGGCCUUGUGUGUCGGCGACGGAUCUUUCAAAUGUCUCCCUAUCAAUUUGUUGGUAGGUGAUUUGCCUACCAUGAUGAUAACGGGUAACGGGGAAUCAGGGUUCGAUUCCGGAGAGGGAGCCUGAGAAAUGUCUACCACAUCCAAGGACGGCAGCAGGCGCGAAAAUUACCCACUCCCAGCACGGGGAGGUAGUGACGAAAAAUACGGAUACGGGACUCAAUUGAGGCUCCGUAAUUCGAAUGAGUACAAUUUAAAUCCUUUAACGAGGACCAAUUGGAGGGCAAGUCUGGUGCCAGCAGCCGCGGUAACUCCAGCUCCAAAAGCGUAUAUUAAAGUUGCUGCAGUUAAAAAGCUCGUAGUUGGAUCUGGGUAGUGCGAUCGCAUGCUGUUGCUUGUUCACGGUCUUGGUUACGAUCAGGGCAGUGGUCAGCUCGGCGUAGUGGUUGUGCAACCUUUCAGCCGUGUCUGUGUUUUAUUAAACAGGUGUCGAUGGGUUAAUGAGUAUUGUAUCUUAUUGACCUGUUGGCAUGCUUUCGGAUGCCUUUAAACGGGUGUCGGGGGCGGACGGCAUCUUUACUUUGAACAAAUUUGAGUGCUCAAAGCAGGCCUAUGCGCCUGAAAAUUCUUGCAUGGAAUAAUGAAAUAGGACUUCGGUUCUAUUUUGUUGGUUUUCGGAUCCGAAGUAAUGGUUAAGAGGGACAGACGGGGGCAUUUGUAUGGCGGUGUUAGAGGUGAAAUUCUGGGAUCGCCGCCAGACAAACUACAGCGAAAGCAUUUGCCAAGAAUGUUUUCAUUGAUCAGGAGCGAAAGUCAGAGUUUCGAAGACGAUCAGAUACCGUCGUAGUUCUGACCAUAAACGAUGCCAACUGACGAUCCGCGUUGGUUCUAUAAUUGACAUCGCGGGCAGUCCCCGGGAAACCUUUAAGUCUUUGGGCUCCGGGGGGAGUAUGGUUGCAAAGCUGAAACUUAAAGGAAUUGACGGAAGGGCACCACCAGGAGUGGAGCCUGCGGUUUAAUUCGACUCAACACGGGAAAACUCACCCGGCCCGGACACUGUGAGGAUUGACAGAUUGAAAGCUCUUUCUUGAUUCGGUGGUUGGUGGUGCAUGGCCGUUCUUAGUUGGUGGAGCGAUUUGUCUGGUUAAUCA
rnacentral:rRNA from 1 species